rnacentral:rRNA from 1 species
AGAGUGAACGCUGGCGGUAGGCCUAACACAUGCAAGUCGAACGGCAGCACGGUAAGAGCUUGCUCUUAUGGGUGGCGAGUGGCGGACGGGUGAGGAAUACAUCGGAAUCUACCUUUUGGUGGGGGAUAACGUAGGGAAACUUACGCUAAUACCGCAUACGCCCUUCGGGGGAAAGCCGGGGACCAGCAAUGGCCUGGCGCUGAUAGAUGAGCCGAUGUCGGAUUAGCUAGUUGGUGAGGUAAUGGCUCGCCAAGGCGACGAUCCGUAGCUGGUCUGAGAGGAUGAUCAGCCACACUGGAACUGAGACACGGUCCAGACUCUACGGGAGCAGCAGUGGGGAAUAUUGGACAAU